CCUACGGGAGGCAGCAGUGAGGAAUAUUUGUCAAUGGGCGCGAGCCUGAACCAGCCAAGUAGCGUGAAGGAUGGCUGCCCUACGGGUUGUAAACUUCUGUUAUAAGGGAAUAAAGUGAGGCACGUGUGCCUUUUUGUAUGUACUUUAUGAAUAAGGAUCGGCUAACUCCGUGCCAGCAGCCGCGGUAAUACGGAGGAUCCGAGCGUGAUCCGGAUUUAUGGGGUGUAAAGGGAGCGUAGAUGGGUUGUUAAGUCAGUUGUGAAAGUUUGUGGCUCAACCGUAAAAUUGCAAUUGAUACUGGCAGUCUUGAGUACAGUUGAGGUAGGCGGAAUUCGUGGUGUAGCAGUGAAAUGCUUAGAUAUCACGAAGAACUCCGAUUGCGAAGGCAGCUUACUAAACUGCCACUGACAUUGAUGCUCGAAAGUGUGGGUAUCAAACAGGAUUAGAUACCCUAGUAGUC
rnacentral:rRNA from 1 species